CCGCGUGAGUGAUGAAGGCCUUCGGGUCGUAAAGCUCUGUGGGAGGGAAGAAAAGCCUGGGGCUAAUACCCUCAGGUUUUGACGGUACCUCCUUAGUAAGCACCGGCUAACUACGUGCCAGCAGCCGCGGUAAUACGUAGGGUGCGAGCGUUAAUCGGAAUUACUGGGCGUAAAGCGUGCGCAGGCGGUGAUGUAAGACAGGUGUGAAAUCCCCGGGCUUAACCUGGGAACUGCAUUUGUGACUGCAUUGCUGGAGUGCGGCAGAGGGGGAUGGAAUUCCGCGUGUAGCAGUGAAAUGCGUAGAUAUGCGGAGGAACACCGAUGGCGAAGGCAAUCCCCUGGGCCUGCACUGACGCUCAUGCACGAAGGCGUGGGGAGCAAACAGGAUUAGAUACCCUGGUAGUCCACGCCCUAAACGAUGUCAACUGGUUGUUGGUCCUUCACUGGAUCAGUAACGAAGCUAACGCGUGAAGUUGACCGCCUGGGGAGUACGGCCGCAAGGUUG
rnacentral:rRNA from 1 species